rnacentral:rRNA from 1 species
GAUGAACGCUGGCGGCGUGCCUAAUACAUGCAAGUCGAGCGAACGGACGAGAAGCUUGCUUUUCUGAUGUUAGCGGCGGACGGGUGAGUAACACGUGGAUAACCUACCUAUAAGACUGGGAUAACUUCGGGAAACCGGAGCUAAUACCGGAUAAUAUUUUGAACCGCAUGGUUCAAAAGUGAAAGACGGUCUUGCUGUCACUUAUAGAUGGAUCCGCGCUGCAUUAGCUAGUUGGUAAGGUAACGGCUUACCAAGGCAACGAUGCAUAGCCGACCUGAGAGGGUGAUCGGCCACACUGGAACUGAGACACGGUCCAGACUCCUACGGGAGGCAGCAGUAGGGAAUCUUCCGCAAUGGGCGAAAGCCUGACGGAGCAACGCCGCGUGAGUGAUGAAGGUCUUCGGAUCGUAAAACUCUGUUAUUAGGGAAGAACAUAUGUGUAAGUAACUGUGCACAUCUUGACGGUACCUAAUCAGAAAGCCACGGCUAACUACGUGCCAGCAGCCGCGGUAAUACGUAGGUGGCAAGCGUUAUCCGGAAAUUAUGGGCGUAAAGCGCGCGUAGGCGGUUUUUUAAGUCUGAUGUGAAAGCCCACGGCUCAACCGUGGAGGGUCAUUGGAAACUGGAAAACUUGAGUGCAGAAGAGGAAAGUGGAAUUCCAUGUGUAGCGGUGAAAUGCGCAGAGAUAUGGAGGAACACCAGUGGCGAAGGCGACUUUCUGGUCUGUAACUGACGCUGAUGUGCGAAAGCGUGGGGAUCAAACAGGAUUAGAUACCCUGGUAGUCCACGCCGUAAACGAUGAGUGCUAAGUGUUAGGGGGUUUCCGCCCCUUAGUGCUGCAGCUAACGCAUUAAGCACUCCGCCUGGGGAGUACGACCGCAAGGUUGAAACUCAAAGGAAUUGACGGGGACCCGCACAAGCGGUGGAGCAUGUGGUUUAAUUCGAAGCAACGCGAAGAACCUUACCAAAUCUUGACAUCCUUUGACAACUCUAGAGAUAGAGCCUUCCCCUUCGGGGGACAAAGUGACAGGUGGUGCAUGGUUGUCGUCAGCUCGUGUCGUGAGAUGUUGGGUUAAGUCCCGCAACGAGCGCAACCCUUAAGCUUAGUUGCCAUCAUUAAGUUGGGCACUCUAAGUUGACUGCCGGUGACAAACCGGAGGAAGGUGGGGAUGACGUCAAAUCAUCAUGCCCCUUAUGAUUUGGGCUACACACGUGCUACAAUGGACAAUACAAAGGGCAGCGAAACCGCGAGGUCAAGCAAAUCCCAUAAAGUUGUUCUCAGUUCGGAUUGUAGUCUGCAACUCGACUACAUGAAGCUGGAAUCGCUAGUAAUCGUAGAUCAGCAUGCUACGGUGAAUACGUUCCCGGGUCU